rnacentral:rRNA from 1 species
CUGGGGGGGGGGUGCUAUACAUGCAAGUCGAACGAGUUCUGAUUAUUGAAAGGUGCUUGCAUCUUGAUUUAAUUUUGAACGAGUGGCGGACGGGUGAGUAACACGUGGGUAACCUGCCCUUAAGUGGGGGAUAACAUUUGGAAACAGAUGCUAAUACCGCAUAAAUCCAAGAACCGCAUGGUUCUUGGCUGAAAGAUGGCGUAAGCUAUCGCUUUUGGAUGGACCCGCGGCGUAUUAGCUAGUUGGUGAGGUAACGGCUCACCAAGGCAAUGAUACGUAGCCGAACUGAGAGGUUGAUCGGCCACAUUGGGACUGAGACACGGCCCAAACUCCUACGGGAGGCAGCAGUAGGGAAUCUUCCACAAUGGACGCAAGUCUGAUGGAGCAACGCCGCGUGAGUGAAGAAGGCUUUCGGGUCGUAAAACUCUGUUGUUGGAGAAGAAUGGUCGGCAGAGUAACUGUUGUCGGCGUGACGGUAUCCAACCAGAAAGCCACGGCUAACUACGUGCCAGCAGCCGCGGUAAUACGUAGGUGGCAAGCGUUAUCCGGAUUUAUUGGGCGUAAAGCGAGCGCAGGCGGUUUUUUAAGUCUGAUGUGAAAGCCCUCGGCUUAACCGAGGAAGUGCAUCGGAAACUGGGAAACUUGAGUGCAGAAGAGGACAGUGGAACUCCAUGUGUAGCGGUGAAAUGCGUAGAUAUAUGGAAGAACACCAGUGGCGAAGGCGGCUGUCUGGUCUGUAACUGACGCUGAGGCUCGAAAGCAUGGGUAGCGAACAGGAUUAGAUACCCUGGUAGUCCAUGCCGUAAACGAUGAAUGCUAGGUGUUGGAGGGUUUCCGCCCUUCAGUGCCGCAGCUAACGCAUUAAGCAUUCCGCCUGGGGAGUACGACCGCAAGGUUGAAACUCAAAGGAAUUGACGGGGGCCCGCACAAGCGGUGGAGCAUGUGGUUUAAUUCGAAGCAACGCGAAGAACCUUACCAGGUCUUGACAUCUUUUGAUCACCUGAGAGAUCAGGUUUCCCCUUCGGGGGCAAAAUGACAGGUGGUGCAUGGUUGUCGUCAGCUCGUGUCGUGAGAUGUUGGGUUAAGUCCCGCAACGAGCGCAACCCUUAUGACUAGUUGCCAGCAUUUAGUUGGGCACUCUAGUAAGACUGCCGGUGACAAACCGGAGGAAGGUGGGGAUGACGUCAAAUCAUCAUGCCCCUUAUGACCUGGGCUACACACGUGCUACAAUGGAUGGUACAACGAGUUGCGAGACCGCGAGGUCAAGCUAAUCUCUUAAAGCCAUUCUCAGUUCGGACUGUAGGCUGCAACUCGCCUACACGAAGUCGGAAUCGCUAGUAAUCGCGGAUCAGCACGCCGCGGUGAAUACGUUCCCGGGCCUUGUACACACCGCCCGUCACACCAUGAGAGUUUGUAACACCCGAAGCCGGUGGCGUAACCCUUUUAGGGAGCGAGCCGUUUAAGGGGCCCCAAAUG